UCCCGACGAACGAUCCACGGGAGCAGGAAGCGGGGGACCCAACGGUCUCCCAGGGAACACCGAUUCCCAGGAGGCACCCGGAUCGCCGCCCCGGCGACGGUCCUUGGGGUGAAGCCGAAUCGCCCACCGGCGAGGAGGCCGGGCUACCUCUUCAGCCCGAACCCGACAGCUGACCUCGUAGGCGCGUACGGAGAGGAAUC
rnacentral:sRNA from 1 species